GAUAACCCAAUUACAGUCUUUCUUACUUUUUGUUUUUUGCUUUUUCUUUUUCAGUGCUUACUCCUGACCAGCAGUAGAGAUAUCACGACAACAUUCUGCACCAGCAGAUUAGUUGCCUAUUGUAAAAAAGUAAGUACCAUUAUGUAUACGCACAAGUCAAGAAAAAAUUAAAUUGACAAAGAACCGUGCUCCCAUACCCUUGAAUAAAUCUAUGUUGUAUGUAAUGUUUUCUAGGCCUAAGUAGUAUGUAAUAUUCUUCAUGUUUGGCGUGUAAGGGCGAGUUUGAGAACCCUAUUUUUCAAAGGGUUUUCAUUUUUUCAAAGAAAAUUAGUUCAUUUAACCUUAGGAAUAUAGUAAUCCUUUGGAAAAAUGGAGUUCCCAAACUAGUCCUAAAACAAAUUAUCUGCCCGCAUGCCAUGGUAGACCGUCAAUUUUCCUAGUAUAUUUUGUGGUUUAAACUUUCUUCUCACAGUUGUAGGUCGCCACAUGUUCAGACUCGAUAGUCAUGUAAAAGAAGUUCCUCCCCAUUUGUACAAGGCGUUGUGCGUGGUCUAGUAUUGCGGUUACAGAAACAGUCUUGGAUGGUAAUUAGCAUUUGGUCUAGAUAAGAAAUUUUGUAAUUCGAUUCAUUUUGGGUGGGCAUUGUAGAUUUGUGGUAUGUUAUAGAUUAUCUACCCUUGUAUGUUUACCACAUGAUACGAUACUAACAUUCUUUAAGGUUGGAAUUUGUUCACCGACACAUGGGCUGCGACCUGCAUAGCAUGUGAAAGUUGUAUUUUUGGUUCCCCAGUUGUCGAUAACUUGAUCCUUGGUUUCUGCCAUGUAUUGUACUGCCUUCUUGUAACUUAUUUUGCCUUUUUUAGAUGUACUGUUUUUAGUAUAUAGUGUAUUUAGAUACAAUGUAUAACCAGUUGUAUAAUAAAAACUAGUUAAGUGUCCGUACGUCGCUACGAC
rnacentral:lncRNA from 7 species